rnacentral:rRNA from 1 species
AAUCAACGCUGGCGGCGCGCUUAACACAUGCAAGUCGAGCGAGAAAGGGAGCAAUCCCUGAGUACAGCGGCGUACGGGUGAGUAACACGUGGAUGAUCUACCUUUUAGUGGGGAAUAACCCUGGGAAACCGGGGCUAAUACCGCAUAAGCCUGAGAAGGGAAAGCGCCUAUUUAAAAGAUGGGCGCGCUGAAAGAGGAGUCCGCGGCCGAUUAGCUAGUUGGUGAGGUAAAGGCUCACCAAGGCGGUGAUCGGUAGCCGGCCUGAGAGGGCACACGGCCACACUGGCACUGAAACACGGGCCAGACUCCUACGGGAGGCAGCAGUGGGGAAUCUUGCACAAUGGAGGCAACUCUGAUGCAGCGACGCCGCGUGAGCGAUGAA